UUUUUUUGCUAUUCGAAACAGUUAGUUCACUCUAGUUUUUAUGCGGUUCCUGCGCUUGCAGAAACUCCUAGCAGACUGCGCAGUAGACUAGGAGGAAAAUGUUGCUGUUGCAAGAUUUAAAAUAUUCCGAUAAAGAAUAUUCCAAAAUUAUAAUAAAAUAAUUAUGAUUAUCGAUUUUUUUCAAAAAGCUGAAAAUUAAAUUCAUAAAUGGUAAAAUCCUUUACGUACACACUUGUAUAAAAUUUGAAAAAUAAUAUUUUCUGAUUAUUGAUUGAAUGUAUUCAAACAAUUAAUCACAAGUAACUAUCUAAAUUGGUGACAUUUGGCAACAGUGAGUAGAUCUGGUUUAUUUAUGUAUGUUUAUUCCAAACAUAACCUUAUAAACAAACAGUUGUUUAUUUAGAGUUAUUUAUUAUUGUUUUCUCAUAUUUUGCAAUUGUUAAGUUGGUUUACUUCGAAUUUAAUGUGCAUUACUGUGGUAUUUCUCCAGUUUUCUAAGAAGGUUGGUGAUUUUGAAUUGGGAUUAUGAUGAAUUUAACCCAAAGGCAAUGUGUGUGUUUAUUUAUGUGGCAAAAUUCCAGGCACCAUAAAAAUUUGAGUUUCUUCCUGUUGCCCAUGGAUGAAAAUCGGUUUGCAGAAUGAAAAGAAAUUGUUCAAUGUGAUAAACUUUCUAUGAACAGUCCUCAGUGUUGUUACAUUAACUUUUAAAUAUGCAUCUUGAGGAGCAGGCCUUUGCAGAAAUACUGAAAAGCGGGUUGCAAAACAACGCAAAAUAAAAUAAACGAAAUAUGUCUUGAGAUUAAACAUUCAAGUUGAAGGUGUGUUCUUUCUUAAACUGGAAUGAUAAUUUUGUAAUUCUGUAGGCACAUCUAUUGAGAAGUUACAACCAGUGGCAAAGUGCCUUAAGGGAAUCUAUGACAUAUAUAAUUGAAGGUAUCAGCAUUGGCUCUACAGCCCAUGGUGGGUCUUGGCCUGUUCCAGAAUCAGCUUCCACUCUUUCCUAUCCUUUGCUUGGCUUUCCAAUUUCUCACUCGAGCAUGAAUUUUUGGUAUAUAUGGGAUUAUAUUGUGAUAACGACCAGAUCUAUGAAAGAAUAGUAUGUUUUUAAAGAAGAUUGUGGUGACACUAUUCAUGAAUAUCUGAUAAUAUUGGUCAAUGUGAAUGGAGUCCAAAAUGGGGUUUAGGCUGUUAUAUAAAAAACUAGGUCAUUAGCAUAUGGAAGUAGGGCGACAUUAUCUGGUAUUAAAUUAUGUGAAUGAGGAGAAUUAAACCUAAAAACUCUAUUUAUUCUGCUAAUCAAUAUGAAUUUAAUAUAUUUUAAUAUAAAACAUAUGUUAUUCUUUCUAGGGACACCUCCUCUGAAGGAAUUACAAUUAUUUGCCAGUAUGUCAAAUGAAUUUUCAACAUCAGUCAUACUUUCAUGAAUUUAUUGAUGAAAAUAAAACUAGGUACAUGAUUUAUUAUUUACUUCCAAGGGAUUCUAAGAUACUAUGUGUAAAAAGUCCAAUAUGCAGUGAUGAGCAUGCUAAUAACUGGCAAAAUAUGGGAUAUAACGCCAAAGAUGGGAAACAUGGGAUGCAUUCUGAAGUAAAAAGAGAUGAAACUGAGAGAAAUUAUUGAUAUAAACAUAUAAAUUAACAUUGCAUUACAUAGUUUCCCACCUUUAGACGUAUCAGAUGAGUAUGAGAACUGUCACUGUGCCAGGAGAAUUUUAUAAAAUACUCCUGUCACAGAGAUCUAAAGGUGGGAAACUAUGUAAUGUUAUCGUCGGCUAAGAGUGUUAACCUGCUAACUCUAUUUUUCACUGUGAGUGAUAUUGGGGUAGUUUCUAGGUCUGUGUACCUUCAUACCAUGUCCCACAAGCCCGCUGGUUCCACUGUAGUUUAGAGAUAGCUAUUUCUAAACUACAUUGGUGUCGGCGGGUUUGUGUGGUGGUGUAUGAAAAUACACGGACCCAGAAACUAGCCCAAUAUCACUCAAAGUGAAAAAUGGAGGUUAAAACUCUUAUCCAAGGUUAUGUUAAUUUAUUCGUUUAUAACGAUAAGUUCCACUUCUACCAGUUUCAUCUCUUUUUAUCUCACAAGUUAAUAUGUUUUCCAUCUUUUGCGUUAUUUUGCCGGUUAUUAGUGUGAGUGCUCAUUACUGUAUAUUUACGAUUCUGUGAUUUCUCAAUAUGAUGCUGAGUAGGUAUAGAUCUGAGUAGGUAUAUAGUAGGUAUCUACAACCCUUUCAAAACAGAAAUUUAUAAGUUCAUUUUAUGUACCUAUUAAACUUUAUUUUAAGGAUGAAUUUGAAAUGCUUGUAGGGAAUAUAUCUGUAAAAAAUAAAAUUGGUAUUGUAAAAUUGAAAUUCUCAAAAUAUAAUUUAUAAUUCGAA
rnacentral:lncRNA from 1 species